rnacentral:sRNA from 1 species
GAUAGAGACUCAUGUAGUAGUCAUUUCAUAGUGACCAAGUAAUGAAAGGAAGAGAUAGAGGCCAGAGUUCCAGUACAUCGUCCUUCAGGGGCACACCCUCAAAGAUAUAACUUCUUUCAGUUGGGUGUCACCCCUUCAAAGGUUCAGAACGAGUUCUUAAAUGCUGGGGUUUUGACAUUCAAUCUUGAUCUAAGCCAUUACACCCCAAGCUUGCAAUAGGACAGAUAAGAACAAGAAAUGUGAUUCAACAAUGACAGAUGAAAGGAGGGAAGAGAAUCCUGUGAAGAACAAUGCUGGUUCAGUUGAGAUGGUAGCACAAAGAAAAGACACACAAAGGAUUUCCACAGACACAGAGCAAACCCAGAGGCUAUAAACUCCAGAAGAGGAGAGUGCCCAGCAUUGAUCAAACUAUCAAGGGACAGCAGUUAUUUAUUUUUUAAUGGAAGAAGGUAGAGGAGGAAAAGCAGGGAGAAGAUAGAAAAGAGGAGGAAGGGGAUAAAGAAGGGAGGUCAGAAGGAUAAGCAUAAUAAGUAAUCAAUGCAAGACUCUAAAAGAUUGGUUUUCUGUCAUCUCAUCAUCAUGAAGCUGGUGGGGACCUUGUUCCUGAGCUUGGAAAAGAGCUGCAAUUCUUAGUAAGAGAAGAUUUAUGAUCAAGAACACACUGACAAAACCCACAAAAGCCAGGCUUCUCCAGAGCACAUAGAAUCGAGGUGAUCAGCCUGGGGGACAUAUGGAAGCCAUCCAGACUGAGCCCGGGACCCCCGUGGAAGAAUUAGGGGACUGAAUGAAGGAGCUGAAUGGAAUUGCAACCCCAUAGGAAGAAC